rnacentral:lncRNA from 1 species
UUUUAUUAUUUUUUCUCCAUUAGGUAGAUAGUUCUCAGAGGACAAGAACAUUGUCAUAUGCAUCUUUCUCAAGCACUAGGCAACUGCCUGGUAUAUAGUGUGUUUUAAGUAAGUGUUGAUUGAGUGAAGGAAGGAAGAAAUAAAUUUGUUGACUUCUACCUACAACCAAAAGGCUCUUCCUUUGCUUAGUCUUUAGGACACUGUCUCUCUGGCCUUCCUUCUUCACGUGGCUGUGUGUUUCUGGCUCAGUCUCCCCAGGGCCUCCUUCACGUCCUUGUUCUGCAGACUAUAGAUGAGGGGGUUGAGCAUUGGGAUGACCAGGGUGUAGAAGACAGAGACCACCUUGCCCUGCUCCAUGGAGUCAACAGCUCCUGGCUGGGCAUACAUGACAAAGACAGUCCCAACAAAGAGAGUCACUGCAGUCAUGUGAGAGCCGCAGGUGGAGAAGACCUUGUGUUUCCCACCUGCUGAUUGCAUCCUCAGGAUGGUCACUGUGAUGUAGCCAUAGGACACAAGGACCACCAAUGUCACACUCACAAUGAUGAGCCCACAGAUGCCAAACAUGAUCAGCUUGUUGAGGGCUGUGUUGGCACAGGCCAGUUGGAGCAGGGGGGGCACGUCACAGAAGAAGUGGUCGAUGUGGUUGGAGCUGCAGAACGGGAGGCUGAAGGUGAAGCUGGUCUGGACAAUGGAGUUGAGGCAGCCUCCACAGUACCCAUCACCUGCUUUGUUAAGGGUGAGAGAGAUGCCAGGAGGAGUCAGAAAUGGCCCUGCCUCAAGUCACGUGGGUGAACGAGCAGCAUCUAACAUCCCGCUUCCUCCCUCUGUAACAAGAUUUUGCCCUUGGUGUUGGUAACCAUAAUCUUUCCUAAUUCUUGUCGCAUUUCUCUGACCACUUCUCUCAUCUCCUUUGCAGGCCCCCCGUUCCCAGACCACCCUUAAAUGACAGCAUCUCCUAAAGCUCAUUUCCUAAUUAAGUGGUUCUCAAAUGUCAGCACCCGUUGGAAUACCUGGAGAGCCUUUCAAGACAUGGAUGGCUGGUCCCCACGUUCAGAGAUUUUAAAUUGGU